rnacentral:rRNA from 1 species
UACGGGGGGGGGCAAGCGUUGUUCGGAAUUACUGGGCGUAAAGGGCGCGUAGGCGGUCUACUAAGUUGGAUGUGAAAACUCUGGGCUUAACUCGGGAACUGCGUCCGAUACUGGCGGGCUUGAAUCCGGGAGAGGGUAGUGGAAUUCCCGGUGUGAGUGGUGAAAUGUGUAGAGAUCGGGAGGAACACCGGUGGCGAAGGCGGUUCUCUGGGGACGGUACUGACGCUGAGACGCGAAAGCGUGGGGAGCGAACAGG